GUCCACGCCCUAAACUAUGUCAACUAGUUGUCGGGGAAGCAAUUCCUUGGUAACGAAGCUAACGCGUGAAGUUGACCGCCUGGGGAGUACGGUCGUAAGAUUAAAACUCAAAGGAAUUGACGGGGGCCCGCACAAGCGGUGGAUGAUGUGUAUUAAUUCGAUGCAACGCGAAAAACCUUACCUACCCUUGACAUGCCCGGAAGCCCGAUGAGAGUUGGGUGUGCUCGAAAGAGAGCCGGGACACAGGUGCUGCAUGGCUGUCGU
rnacentral:rRNA from 1 species